AGUGAACGCUGGCGGUAGGCCUAACACAUGCAAGUCGAACGGCAGCACAGUAAGAGCUUGCUCUUACGGGUGGCGAGUGGCGGACGGGUGAGGAAUACAUCGGAAUCUACUUUUUCGUGGGGGAUAACGUAGGGAAACUUGCGCUAAUACCGCAUACGACCUACGGGUGAAAGCAGCGGAUCUUCGGACCUUGCGCGAUUGAAUGAGCCGAUGUCGGAUUAGCUAGUUGGCGGGGUAAAGGCCCACCAAGGCAACGAGCCGUAGCUGGUCUGAGAAGAUGAACAGCAAGACUGGAACUGAGACACGGUCAAGACUAGUACGGGAAGCAGCAGAGGGGAAUAUUGGACAAUGGGCGCAAGCCUGAUCCAGCCAUACCGCGUGAGUGAAGAAGGCCUUCGGGAUGUAAAGCCCUUUUGUUGGGAAAGAAAAGAAGAAGGUUAAUACCCCGCUGUUCUGACGGUACAAAAAGAAUAAGCACCGGCUAACUUAGUG
rnacentral:rRNA from 1 species